CCGUGAUAACGUAGCAUAAUCACUCGCCACCUAAUUAGUGGAUAGUAUGAAUGGUAAAACGAGUAUAACACUCUCUCAGAAGGAAGUUUUAUGAAAUUGGAAUGGUAGUCAAGAUACUACCUAAAACUGUAAGACGAAAAGACCCUAUAGAGCUUAACUACACCUUUCUCACAAAGUUAAGUUCACUUAAGUUCAAGAAAGAUUGGUAGUUUAGUUGGGGCGACUGCUUUCUAGUAAAAACGAAAGCAAGCAAUAUUAAUUAUCUAAUUUACUGUCUAAUCUAUGUGUUUAACAGUUAUAAAAAUAGGCAAUAGUGACCCGUUAGUAACAAAAAACACCACUAACGAACAAUAAAUAAAAGCUACCUUAGGGAUAACAGGAUAAUCUUGUUCUAGAGACCCUAUCGAAAACAAGGUUUGUCACCUCUAUGUUGAAUUAAGAUAUCCUAGAAGUGUAGAAGCUUCUGAGG
rnacentral:rRNA from 1 species